rnacentral:rRNA from 1 species
UACAGAGGUCUCAAGCGUUGUUCGGAUUCAUUGGGCGUAAAGGGCGCGUAGGCGGCGGGGUAAGUCGGGUGUGAAAUCUCAGAGCUCAACUCUGAAACUGCACUCGAUACUGCUCUGCUUGAGGACUGGAGAGGAGACUGGAAUUCACGGUGUAGCAGUGAAAUGCGUAGAUAUCGUGAGGAAGACCAGUGGCGAAGGCGGGUCGUCUGGACAGUUCCUGACGCUGAGGCGCGAAGGCCAGGGGAGCAAAGCGGGAUUAAGAUGACCCUGUAGUCCCCUAGAAGCCAAC